rnacentral:rRNA from 1 species
AAAUUGAAGAGUUUGAUCAUGGCUCAGAUUGAACGCUGGCGGCAGGCCUAACACAUGCAAGUCGAACGGUAACAGGAAGCAGCUUGCUGCUUUGCUGACGAGUGGCGGACGGGUGAGUAAUGUCUGGGAAACUGCCUGAUGGAGGGGGAUAACUACUGGAAACGGUGGCUAAUACCGCAUAACGUCGCAAGACCAAAGAGGGGGACCUUCGGGCCUCUUGCCAUCAGAUGUGCCCAGAUGGGAUUAGCUAGUUGGUGAGGUAACGGCUCACCAAGGCGACGAUCCCUAGCUGGUCUGAGAGGAUGACCAGCCACACUGGAACUGAGACACGGUCCAGACUCCUACGGGAGGCAGCAGUGGGGAAUAUUGCACAAUGGGCGCAAGCCUGAUGCAGCCAUGCCGCGUGUAUGAAGAAGGCCUUCGGGUUGUAAAGUACUUUCAGCGGGGAGGAAGGUGUUGUGGUUAAUAACCGCAGCAAUUGACGUUACCCGCAGAAGAAGCACCGGCUAACUCCGUGCCAGCAGCCGCGGUAAUACGGAGGGUGCAAGCGUUAAUCGGAAUUACUGGGCGUAAAGCGCACGCAGGCGGUCUGUCAAGUCGGAUGUGAAAUCCCCGGGCUCAACCUGGGAACUGCAUUCGAAACUGGCAGGCUUGAGUCUUGUAGAGGGGGGUAGAAUUCCAGGUGUAGCGGUGAAAUGCGUAGAGAUCUGGAGGAAUACCGGUGGCGAAGGCGGCCCCCUGGACAAAGACUGACGCUCAGGUGCGAAAGCGUGGGGAGCAAACAGGAUUAGAUACCCUGGUAGUCCACGCCGUAAACGAUGUCUACUUGGAGGUUGUGCCCUUGAGGCGUGGCUUCCGGAGCUAACGCGUUAAGUAGACCGCCUGGGGAGUACGGCCGCAAGGUUAAAACUCAAAUGAAUUGACGGGGGCCCGCACAAGCGGUGGAGCAUGUGGUUUAAUUCGAUGCAACGCGAAGAACCUUACCUGGUCUUGACAUCCACAGAAGAAUCCAGAGAUGGAUUUGUGCCUUCGGGAACUGUGAGACAGGUGCUGCAUGGCUGUCGUCAGCUCGUGUUGUGAAAUGUUGGGUUAAGUCCCGCAACGAGCGCAACCCUUAUCCUUUGUUGCCAGCGGUCCGGCCGGGAACUCAAAGGAGACUGCCAGUGAUAA